rnacentral:tRNA from 1 species
CCCUGGUGGCUCAGACGGUAAAGAAUCCGCCUGCAAUGCGGGAGACCUGGGUUCGAUCCCUGGAUCAGGAA